AUGUCCUGCUCGUGAUCGUCUUCUCACCCGUCACCGGCAGGCAGCCAGAGGAGAACCCCCGCGAGGACGUGACUCGCGGGGGUUCUCG
rnacentral:ncRNA from 18 species